CUGAUUGAUUAUUGCCCCGUUCGACUGUACUGUACAUCCCAGCAAUGAGUUUUAGUUCUAUGUUUUUGUGCAGUCAAAAGAUUUUUGUGCUAUAACGAUGAUUGCUCAUGACCUCGUUCACAUUUAACGUCUCGUUACAGCCUCUCGUCUCGGGCUGUCUGAACUCAUCUAUCGUCGGCGAGGGCCCCGAUCGACAGACGUUCGACGUAUCUCGCUGACCUUUAGACGUCCUGCGCGUCAAUGUUAACGCUACGCUAAUGAGCCUGUCUUCCAUGCCACGUCUGUUGUCGUCGGUCUUGUCAUCCAUUCGACUGAGGGAGAUCCCGGUACUGGAGAGGGACGACACCGUGCUGGACAGAGUGCUGGAUCUUACGGUAUGGUUUGGUUGUCCGGCAUGCACAGAUCAGCUCCGUCAUGCAGAUCCACAACUAUCACACCUCUAUUCCAUGCAGACUGCCAGCACCAAGGUCCUUUAUAAUCAACACAAGCACUACACAAAUCACAGUCCAGAACAUCAAGAGUUACCCCUUGGAUUCCACUGUCAAAUCCAAUCCAAUCCAAUUUGCUCUUUCAUUGUGGAAAGUGCAGCAAUUUGACAGCACCGAAAACCAAGGAAGCUAACUUUGAAAUGAAAACGUCUGAUGAGGAAAAAAAAAAAAACAGAAGUAAGUUGAAAUGUAAAGGGGGAGGAAAAAAAGGAGACGUGGAAGGCGAAGUGAUGAAGAGAGAGGGCCAGCUGCAGUGUGGGCAGGUCUGUAGGCAUGUUGAUGACGCCCUCGUUGUACGCGGCAAACAACCGUAUGGAGUCUUUGAAGAGCAGCAUGAAGGCAGUGUUGAUGACGCCGUUGCUCAGCUCGUUGGAGUUGGGCUGCAGGUGCUACCUGAAAAUCCAGCAGUGCGUCCAGCUGGUUCUGAAUGAUCGGCAGCGUCUUAAUCAGCUUAUCCGUGUUCAUGGUGCGCAUCACGCCGUCGACCCUGCGUCCUCACCUCGUUGCCGUACAUCAUGAGGUGAUGCGUGGCGAUAAGUGCCUUGAAGACCACGAUCCAGCUGUUGCUAGCCGUGCGCUCCAGCAGCGUGUCCGCCAG